rnacentral:rRNA from 1 species
GAGUUUGAUCCUGGCUCAGAUUGAACGCUGGCGGAAUGCUCUACACAUGCAAGUCGAGCGGCAGCGCGGGGCAACCUGGCGGCGAGCGGCGAACGGGUGAGUAAUGCAUCGGAACGUGUCCAUGUCGUGGGGGAUAGCCCGGCGAAAGCCGGAUUAAUACCGCAUACGCCCGAGAGGGGAAAGUGGGGGACCGCAAGGCCUCACGCGAUUGGUUCGGCCGAUGUCCGAUUAGCUAGUUGGCGGGGUAAAGGCCCACCAAGGCGAUGAUCGGUAGCUGGUCUGAGAGGAUGAUCAGCCACACUGGGACUGAGACACGGCCCAGACUCCUACGGGAGGCAGCAGUGGGGAAUUUUGGACAAUGGGGGCAACCCUGAUCCAGCCAUUCCGCGUGAGUGAAGAAGGCCUUCGGGUUGUAAAGCUCUUUUGUCCGGAACGAAACGGUGGACGUGAAUAUCGUCCACUACUGACGGUACCGGAAGAAUAAGCACCGGCUAACUACGUGCCAGCAGCCGCGGUAAUACGUAGGGUGCGAGCGUUAAUCGGAAUUACUGGGCGUAAAGCGUGCGCAGGCGGUUCGCCAAGUCAGGUGUGAAAUCCCCGGGCUUAACCUGGGAAUUGCGCUUGAAACUAGCGGGCUUGAGUGCGGCAGAGGGGGGCGGAAUUCCACGUGUAGCAGUGAAAUGCGUAGAGAUGUGGAGGAACACCGAUGGCGAAGGCAGCCCCCUGGGUCGACACUGACGCUCAUGCACGAAAGCGUGGGGAGCAAACAGGAUUAGAUACCCUGGUAGUCCACGCCCUAAACGAUGUCGACUAGGUGUUGGGGAAGGAGACUUCCUUAGUACCGCAGCUAACGCGUGAAGUCGAUCGCCUGGGGAGUACGGUCGCAAGAUUAAAACUCAAAGGAAUUGACGGGGACCCGCACAAGCGGUGGAUGAUGUGGAUUAAUUCGAUGCAACGCGAAAAACCUUACCUACCCUUGACAUGCCAGGAAGUCCGCUGAGAGGUGGAUGUGCCCGAAAGGGAACCUGGACACAGGUGCUGCAUGGCUGUCGUCAGCUCGUGUCGUGAGAUGUUGGGUUAAGUCCCGCAACGAGCGCAACCCUUGUCGUUAGUUGCUACAUUCAGUUGGGCACUCUAAUGAGACUGCCGGUGACAAACCGGAGGAAGGUGGGGAUGACGUCAAGUCCUCAUGGCCCUUAUGGGUAGGGCCUCACACGUCAUACAAUGGCGCAUACAGAGGGUUGCCAACCCGCGAGGGGGAGCCAAUCCCAGAAAGUGCGUCGUAGUCCGGAUCGGAGUCUGCAACUCGACUCCGUGAAGUCGGAAUCGCUAGUAAUCGCGGAUCAGCAUGUCGCGGUGAUACGUUCCCGGGUCUUGUACACAC